GCCAGGUGCGGUGGUGCACGCCUGUCAUCCCAGUGGCUCCGGAGGCUGAGGCAGGAGGAUCUCCAGUUCAAAGCUAAGCCUCAGCAACUUAGGCCCUAAGCAAUUUAUGGAGACCCUGUCUCUA
rnacentral:sRNA from 1 species